AAUUUUGUUAUGCUUCGGUUUGAUUAGGUUUGGGUUUUGUUAGGUUUGAGUUUUGUUAGGUUUGGGUUUGGGUUAGGUUUGGGUUGGGUUUGGGUUAGGCUUGGGUUUGGUUUUAAUUUUGUUAGGUUUGGGUUUUUUUGGGUUGGUUUUUGUUCAGUUUGGGUUUUGUUAGGUUUGGGUCUCUUAGGUUUGGGUUUUGUUAUGUUUGGGUUUCGUUAGGUUUGGGUUUUGUUAGGUUUGGUUUUUAGGUUUGGAUUUUGUUAGGUUUGGGUUUUUUUA